rnacentral:misc_RNA from 1 species
UACCACUCCCCUUCUCUGUUACUUUCUUUUUUAGAUUAGUUUCUCUUGUUAAGAGGAAUUGUUGAUGAUGAUGAUGAUACGUGAAUGCGUUUCCUCUGUUUAAUUUUUCAUUUGGUUUCACAUCACUGUUUUCGUAGUUUCUGCGUACUCUGUUUCUGACAGAAAGUCGACUAAGUGUUUGAACUUGUAAAUUUCCUGCAAAGUAGAAGGAAAUUCUUGAAAGCCAUCUCAAAGUAUAUCCUUGUUCCUUAUCCUUCUUUUAGAGUAUGUAUGUUGGAGGGAAUCUGGUGAUACCCUUUGGUUGGUAGCCGAGAAAGAUGAAGAAGAUAUUAAAAAGGAUUUGUGGUUUUCAUAUAUUUGGAUGAUAAAGUAUGUGUUUCUUUUUAUCUCUUUUACUAGUAGAAAGACUCAAGCAUGGAACAAAACCUUCGGAGAGAUUUGAGAUCUUGUUCCAUAGUUCUGUUUUCAGUAACUUUUGAAGCGCUACAAAAAGAGGCUGGAGUUUAUCUUCUACUGAAAAACUGAAGAUCUAAUCUUCAUAUAACCCUGGCAGAAUUAUUUGGCCUUAGAUCCUGUUUAUUUCAAUCAAUUUUCUUCUCUUUAUAUUUUAUCUAAACGAGUUCAUUGUUUUCUCAUUAUAUUCUCUUUCUAUAAUUUGCUUUCCCAGAUUCAACCAAAAAGAUUAAUAUAUGGGUUUGAAAUAUGAUCCUCAGGAAGAAAUCGUAGCAGGGGAAG